GGAUCCUACGGGGCGCAGCAGUAGGGAAUCUUCCACAAUGGGCGAAAGCCUGAUGGAGCAACGCCGCGUGGGUGAAGAAGGUCUUCGGAUCGUAAAACCCUGUUGUUAGAGAAGAAAGUGCGUGAGAGUAACUGUUCACGUUUCGACGGUAUCUAACCAGAAAGCCACGGCUAACUACGUGCCAGCAGCCGCGGAAAUACGUAGGUGGCAAGCGUUAUCCGGUUUUAUUGGGCGUAAAGGGAACGCAGGCGUUCUUUUAAGUCUGUUGCGAAAGCCUUCGGCUUAACCGGA
rnacentral:rRNA from 1 species